CUUAAAACUAUCCAGGUUGAUAUGAUUACUGUCCAGAGGGCUUGACAUUUACAAUAAAAAACAGAGGAAGCUAGACCUGGAAGCAAGAGAAAGACAGGGCAUGGGAAAAAGAACAAAGCAGGGAAGAGGAAAUACUACUUCUAUUAAAAAGAAACGAUAGAGGCUACUUACUGAAUCACCGUGGAACAAAGAGAGGUAGAAGGUUGUGCAUCAGCUCUUGAAUGCUUCAGCCUGAAGUAACACACAUCACUUCUGUUCACAGCCCAGUGCCACCUGGUUUCGACGAACACAGCUGGGAUAUGUGAGCGAGCAGAUGGAUAUUCAGUGAAUAAUAAUGUGCCUACAACAGCAGGAUCAAAACCAAAAGAAAAGUAUUGGUGAAAGACAUAUAACCUACUAGGUAGGUACUGCUAGGAUUAUUUGCAUAACACCGGAAGAAAGAAGAGAGAAUAUUUCAAUGCACAACCAAAAUCAGCUCUGUACCUUGACACAAUAAAGUAAUUCAUGAAUC